GAUGAACGCUAGCGGGAGGCCUAAUACAUGCAAGUCGAGCGGUAGAGUGACUUCGGUUGCUUGACGAGCGGCGAACGGGUGAGUAACGCGUACACAAUCUACCUUUAAGAGGGGAAUAGCCCUGGGAAACUGGGAUUAAUGCCCCAUGGCAUCACGAGACGGCAUCGUUUUGUGAUUAAAGCUGAGGUGCUUAGAGAUGAGUGUGCGUCUGAUUAGCUAGUUGGUGCGGUAACGGCGCACCAAGGCGACGAUCAGUAGGGGGCGUGAGAGCGUGGACCCCCACACGGGUACUGAGACACGGACCCGACUCCUACGGGAGGCAGCAGUAAGGAAUAUUGGUCAAUGGAGGAAACUCUGAACCAGCCAUCCCGCGUGCAGGAAGAAUGCCCUAUGGGUUGUAAACUGCUUUUAUCUGGGAAGAAAAGUCGGGAUUUAUCCUGAUCUGACGGUACCAGAGGAAUAAGCACCGGCUAACUCCGUGCCAGCAGCCGCGGUAA
rnacentral:rRNA from 1 species